rnacentral:rRNA from 1 species
UACUCAGAACUUUAGUGAUUUUGUCUGAAAAAUAUUAUGAAUAACUUAAUUCAAAAUACAACUUUCAACAACGGAUCUCUUGGCUCUCGCAUCGAUGAAGAACGCAGCGAAAUGCGAUACGUAAUGUGAAUUGCAGAAUUCAGUGAAUCAUCGAAUCUUUGAACGCAUAUUGCGCUCUCUGGUAUUCCGGAGAGCAUGCUUGUUUGAGUAUCAGUAAACACCUCAACUCCCUUUUUUCUUUUUUGAAAUGAGGGAGCUGGACUUGAGUGAUCCCAACACUUUUCUUCACUGAAAAGUGGCGGGUCACUUGAAAUGCAGGUGCAGCUGGACUUUUCUCUGAGCUAUAAGCAUAUCUAUUUAGUCUGCCUAAAAAACAGAUUAUUACCUUUGCUGCAGCUAACAUAAAGGAGAUGAGUUCUUGUGCUGACUGAUGCAGGAUUCACAGAGACAGCUUCGCGGCUGACUUUGUAAACUCGAUCUCAAAUCAAGUAAGACUACC